AAAAGGUGAUGAAUAGAACAUCUGUUAAAUUAUCAUCAAGUCAUUAUUUUUCUGAAAACCGGUUUGAAAAUUGUUUAUCAAUUUAACUUAAAUCGAGAUUGUUCUUUUUUUAAAUCGAUUUUUAAACAAGGUCAUUGUUUUUUUCACAGAUUACGAUUCGCAAUUUAAACUCGUCACCCAAGAACUGGCCGAAAAGAAUAACGCGUUAAAAGAAUCGGAGACGAAACUUAAAAAGUUACUGUCAACGCCCACAACGGAAACUGCUAAUUCACAGAUAGACGAAAUGAAAAAUAAUAUUAGCCGAUUAGAAAAUAAAUUGGAAUCGUUGCGUUGUUCAACCGAAGUCAUCAGUGCGGAUGCUAAAAAAACUAUAAUGGAUAAACAUGGUGGAUAUUUAAAAGAAUAUAGGAAACGUAAAAGGCUUUGCUCCGAUAUGCUUGAAGCAGUACUCGAAGGCUACCCGAAAUCCAAAAAGAAUUUUCUAGAAGAACUUUGUAUUGAAACAGACGAAAUGGUUAAUUUCAAAUUAAUGUCACAACAAUAGAAUAAAAAAAAAUAAAAAGUUGAAAUUUUA